rnacentral:rRNA from 1 species
UAAUACAGGGGGUGCGAGCGUUAUUCGGAAUUAUUGGGCGUAAAGAGCGUGUAGGUGGUUUGUUAAGUCUGAUGUGAAAGCCCUGGGCUCAAUCCAGGAAGUGCAUUGGAUACUGGCAGACUAGAGUGCAGGAGAGGUGAGCGGAAUUCCCGGUGUAGAGGUGAAAUUCGUAGAUAUCGGGAGGAACAACAGAAGCGAAGGCGGCUCACUGGACUGUUACUGACACUAAGGCGCGAAAGCGUGGGGAGCAAACAGG